CCUUGGCCAGGGCGGCGCGGCCGAGCGCGCCGAGGUCCUCGCCCUCGACGAGGACGCUGCCGCGGGUGGCCGCGUCCAGGCCGCCGGCCAGGGUC
rnacentral:tRNA from 1 species